CCUACGGGAGGCAGCAGUGAGGAAUAUUGGUCCAUGGACGAGAGUCUGAACCAGCCAAGUAGCGUGAAGGAUGACUGCCCUAUGGGUUGUAAACUUCUUUUAUCAAGGAAUAAAACGAGGCACGUGUGCCUUUUUGCGUGUACUUUAUGAAUACGGAUCGGCUAACUCCGUGCCAGCAGCCGCGGUAAUACGGAGGAUCCGAGCGUUAUCCGGAUUUAUUGGGUUUAAAGGGAGCGUAGAUUGGUUGUUAAGUCAGUUGUGAAAGUUUGCGGCUCAAACGUAAAAUUGCAAUUGAUACUGGCAGUCUUGAGUACAGUUGAGGUAGGCGGAAUGCGUGGUGUAGCGGUGAAAUGCUUAGAUAUCACGAAGAACCCCGAUUGCGAAGGCAGCAUACUAAACUGUGACUGACAUUGAUGCUCGAAAGUGUGGGUAUCAAACAGGAUUAGAUACCCGAGUAGUC
rnacentral:rRNA from 1 species